rnacentral:misc_RNA from 1 species
GAUGAAGAACGUAGCGAAAUGCGAUAAGUAAUGUGAAUUGCAGAAUUCAGUGAAUCAUCGAAUCUUUGAACGCACAUUGCGCCCGCCAGUAUUCUGGCGGGCAUGCCUGUCCGAGCGUCAUUUCAACCCUCGAACCCCUCCGGGGGGUCGGCGUUGGAGACCUCGGGAGCCCCUAAGACGGGAUCCCGGCCCCGAAAUACAGUGGCGGUCUCGCCGCAGCCUCUCCUGCGCAGUAGUUUGCACAACUCGCACCGGGAGCGCGGCGCGUCCACGUCCGUAAAACACCCAACUUCUGAAAUGUUGACCUCGGAUCAGGUAGGAAUACCCGCUGAACUUAAGCAUAUCAAUAAGCGGAGGA